GAAGAAGGCCAUAGUGGCUAGGAAACACCUGUUCCCAUCUGAACACAGAAGUUAAGCUGACCACGUUGCAACCUGUACUGGCGCAAGUCGGGAACGUUGCAAGUCAUCUUCG
rnacentral:rRNA from 1 species